rnacentral:rRNA from 1 species
GAACGCUGGCGGCGUGCCUAAAUACAUGCAAGUCGAACGGAGUAUUAAGAGAGCUUGCUCUUUUAAUACUUAGUGGCGCACGGGUGAGUAAUGUAUAGUUAAUCUGCCCUACACUGGAGGACAACAGUUAGAAAUGACUGCUAAUACUCCAUACUCCUUCUUAACAUAAGUUAAGUCGGGAAAGUUUUUCGGUGUAGGAUGAGACUAUAUUGUAUCAGCUAGUUGGUAAGGUAAUGGCUUACCAAGGCUUUGACGCAUAACUGGUCUGAGAGGAUGAUCAGUCACACUGGAACUGAGACACGGUCCAGACUCCUACGGGAGGCAGCAGUAGGGAAUAUUGCUCAAUGGGGGAAACCCUGAAGCAGCAACGGCGCGUGGAGGAUGACACUUUUCGGAGCGUAAACUCCUUUUGUUAGGGAAGAACCAUGACGGUACCUAACGGAUAAGCACCGGCUAACUCCGUGCCAGCAGCCGCGGUAAUACGGAGGGUGCAAGCGUUACUCGGAAUCACUGGGCGUAAAGGACGCGUAGGG